CCCUUAGAUGUUCUGGGCAGCACGCGCGCUACAAUGGUCUUCGCAAACGGAUGCAUUCUCGAAGGAGAAUGCCAAUCUUGGAAUCUAUGCCUUGGUCGGGACAGUUGCUUGCAAUUUUUCGACUCGAACCAGGAAUUCCUUGUAAUCGUGAUUCAUCACAUCACGAUGAAUACGUCCCUGCCCUUUGUACACACCGCCCGUCGCUCCUACCGAUCGAAGAGCUAGGUGAAUUGUUUUGAUCGAUAAGAUUUGACUAUGGUCAACUCUCGUUGUGAAAUUCUGUGAAUCUGACUGUUUAGAGGAAGGAAAAGUCGUAACA
rnacentral:rRNA from 1 species